GAUGAACGCUGGCGGCGUGCCUAAUACAUGCAAGUCGAGCGAACAGACGAGGAGCUUGCUCCUCUGACGUUAGCGGCGGACGGGUGAGUAACACGUGGAUAACCUACCUAUAAGACUGGGAUAACUUCGGGAAACCGGAGCUAAUACCGGAUAAUAUAUUGAACCGCAUGGUUCAAUAGUGAAAGACGGUUUUGCUGUCACUUAUAGAUGGAUCCGCGCCGCAUUAGCUAGUUGGUAAGGUAACGGCUUACCAAGGCAACGAUGCGUAGCCGACCUGAGAGGGUGAUCGGCCACCCUGGAACUGAGACACGGUCCAGACUCCUACGGGAGGCAGCAGUCGGGAAUCUUACGCAAUGGGCGAAAGCUUGACGGAGCAACGCCGCGUGAGUGAUGAAGGUCUUCGGAUCGUAAAACUCUGUUAUUAGGGAAAAACAAAUGUGUAAGUAACUAUGCACGUCUUGACGGUACCUAAUCAGAAAGCCACGGCUAACUACGUG
rnacentral:rRNA from 1 species